AUCUUUUGAAUUAAAUUACUAUUUUCGAAAUUAUGGGUAAUUAACAGAGUUAACACUUUGUUAGAUGACUUGGAUAGAGUCACAGGGAAGGAGCCAGAAGAUGAUCGAUCCUUAUAAUAUCUCAGUAGAUCUUAUAAAUUAAGAGCUUGCUUUAUCAAGAAUCAACCAAAUAGCUAGAAUUUAAAAUUUAGGAUUAAUUUCAGUUUAUCUUUCUAGGUUUGUGGUUAACAUCAUUGCAGUCUAUAUACUCUUAAUUUGGAAAAUUUACCCUCUAAAGUUUACAAUUUUUAUAAAUCAUACAUGCUCAAUUGUUGAAAUUUCAUCCAAUUUGGACGUUAACGGUGUGUUUGGAUGCGAAUGAAU
rnacentral:lncRNA from 1 species